rnacentral:rRNA from 1 species
CUACGGGGUGCUCCAGUGGGGAAUAUUGCACAAUGGGGGGAACCCUGAUGCAGCAACGCCGCGUGGAGGAUGACACAUUUCGGUGCGUAAACUCCUUUUAUAUAAGAAGAUAAUGACGGUAUUAUAUGAAUAAGCACCGGCUAACUCCGUGCCAGCAGCCGCGGUAAUACGGGGGGUGCAAGCGUUACUCGGAAUCACUGGGCGUAAAGAGCAUGUAGGCGGGUAGAAAAGUUGGAAGUGAAAUCCUAUGGCUUAACCAUAGAACUGCUUCCAAAACUCUUUACCUAGAAUAUGGGAGAGGUAGAUGGAAUUUCUGGUGUAGGGGUAAAAUCCGUAGAGAUCAGAAGGAAUACCGAUUGCGAAGGCGAUCUACUGGAACAUUAUUGACGCUCAGAUGCGAAAGCGUGGGGAGCAAACAGGAUUAGAUACCCCAGUAGUC